rnacentral:rRNA from 1 species
UACGAAGGGGGCUAGCGUUGCUCGGAAUCACUGGGCGUAAAGCGCACGUAGGCGGAUUGCUAAGUCAGGGGUGAAAUCCUGGAGCUCAACUCCAGAACUGCCUUUGAUACUGGCAAUCUCGAGUCCGGGAGAGGUGAGUGGAACUGCGAGUGUAGAGGUGAAAUUCGUAGAUAUUCGCAAGAACACCAGUGGCGAAGGCGGCUCACUGGCCCGAUACUGACGCUGAGGCACGAAAGCGUGGGGAGCAAACAGG